GAUGAACGCUGGCGGCGUGCCUAAUACAUGCAAGUCGAGCGAACAGACGAGGAGCUUGCUCCUCUGACGUUAGCGGCGGACGGGUGAGUAACACGUGGAUAACCUACCUAUAAGACUGGGAUAACUUCGGGAAACCGGAGCUAAUACCGGAUAAUAUAUUGAACCGCAUGGUUCAAUAGUGAAAGACGGUUUUGCUGUCACUUAUAGAUGGAUCCGCGCCGCAUUAGCUAGUUGGUAAGGUAACGGCUUACCAAGGCGACGAUGCGUAGCCGACCUGAGAGGGGGAUCGGCCACACUGGAACUGAGACACGGUCCAGACUCCUACGGGAGGCAGCAGUAGGGAAUCUUCCGCAAUGGGCGAAAGCCUGACGGAGCAACGCCGCGUGAGUGAUGAAGGUCUUCGGAUCUUAAAACUCUGUUAUUAGGGAAGAACAAAGGUGUAAGUAACUAUGCACGUCUUGACGGUACCUAAUCAGAAAGCCACGGCUAACUACGUG
rnacentral:rRNA from 1 species